rnacentral:lncRNA from 1 species
CAGCAAACUAUCAUGCGGCUGUCCACGAGCACAAUGUUUGGAAAAUCACAACAACAUAAACAUCAGGCACAGUUUUAUGUCAAGAUUGCAAGGACCUAUUCUAUCCAGAUACAAUGCGUCGGUGGGCCCAGUGGUGUGUGCUGAAUCUGGUGAGACUGAUGCUGUGGCUGUUAGCCCUGGCUAUACUGACUGUCCUGGUAGCCCCUGACCUGCUGUGGAGCCUGACUGGGGGAGAGCCAUAGGAGGUGUUGACGAAAAGCCCCUUUUGUUCUACAGUAUGUCCCAAAUGACCUCUUCUGUCUAUAAAAUCCAGAUGAAGGCUACAUGCUGAAACAAAUUGGUUUUUCAAAACAAAUAUUUAUUUUAAAAUCAGCUUUGUCCUCCAUGAGUGGCUGAAAUAGCCUCUUCUAUUUAGGUGUGGACAGGGU